UACGGAAAAAUAGGUUUGGACACAAGUUGGCAAGAUAAAGUUUACAGAAAAUUAUGGUUACAAAUUCCUUUACACGGAUUUCUCACAAAUUCAUUGCAUUAGUCUAUAACUGCAAAAACAAACAGUCUUCUGAGCACCAUUACAAACACUUAACAAUCAAAAUAAAGCUCUCAAACCGGCAAAAGGUCAAAUUACUCUCAUCUCUAAGGGGCUUACACAUAAAGAUAAAGGUCUGUCUUCUCGUUCAUCAUACACUGGAACUAUAUUGAAAGCAGCAACAGCCCUAGAAGUCUUUGCUAUGCUCAGAGAGAUCGCAAGUUCGUUUUCUUCGGGAAAACCAUUGGCAACACCGAUCAACGAGAGUCCUUGACUUCCUGUCAUUGUAAUCAAUUUUCUGAGAAGAAAUCCAUUCAGACCAUAAAUAUUAAAGUUUUCUAGUAUAAAAAGGUAAUUCAUGACUACACAUACGAAAGGCAAUAAUAUGCUAAAAUUAUGAAGAUGUAGAACUCGUACCUCAAUUGAAUGGCAGGAUGAUAUGAGAUAUUUGAUUGAAAAAUUUAUCAAUGAAUAAUCUUCAAUUGAUGUACAAGCAGUUAUUCCACUUAUCGAAGCAUUUGAUUAGUUUAUUGAGGCUAAAAUAAAUGGUUUUGUCAAUAAUUUACUCUGAAACAACAGAUUAAGUUAGAUUUAAAGAAACGUUUACAUCAACCGUAAUUGUAAAUAAAUCAAUAACCCUCUCUUGCAUCAAUACUAAUUAAGCCCUUGAUUGGCUACUGUUUAUAAAUUACUUACAAUCAGUUAAACAACUUUUUAUCCACAUAUUUCAUGAAACCUGCAAGUAGUAUCCACUUACCAUUUAUAAACAACUCCAAACAUGUUUUCAAGUCUUAAACUUGCUUCUGCCCAUAAAUCAUAGAACAAACUCAGUAAUUUUCCCAAGCAACCCGGAAAUUUAAACAAACAGUUUCAAAGAACUAAUCGCAUCCAUUAUGCAUCAGAACAGGUCUGUGUCAUUAUUUUUCCUUCUUUUUCCAUGCAGAAUGGCACCAGCUGCUGCUGGUUAGCUUUUAAAAUAAAUUCUUGAAAAUGAAUGUUCAUAAAAAAGCCUCCUCAAAGCAUCUCCAAGAGAGUUCUAUUUAUAAAAGAGCAUCUUAUAUAUACGAGUAUAUCUAAAUCUAGAGGGUAAAAAUUUUAUACACUGUAACGAUGCUAUCUAUUCUGAAUCUUAAUUUUGCUUUUUUCUCAUCUUUUAUUUAACAUAUUUUUUUUAUAUGUCAUUGGCCAGUCAAUUCAAAUAUGAUUGAAUAACUUAAAGAAUGGAGUAUGGAAAUAUAGAACUUAUUAAAUGCAAUUAUUAUAAAGUAAGGUUAUAGAGUGAGUUUAGCUCUCCAAAUUAUUCUCUAUUAUAAAAAGUUAAAAUUUAAAAUAGAGAGUCUCUUAAACUUAUUUUCAAGCAUUGACUCUAUAAAAUAAAUUACAUUUUUUAUUUAGAGUCUUUUAAAAAUGCUCUUAGAUUGUGUUGUAGUUUGAUACAAAUUCUAGUCGGUAUUAGAGUUUUGAUUGAAGUGGUAUUGAAGAGACAAAAUUAUGAAUUGGGAAGAAAAGUUGUCGCAUUUUCGCUAACCCGCCGCUAGUUGGCCACUCGCACAUCUCCUGCAUAUUUUCUUUGGAGACUUGUCACUCACUUGUUGCCCACCUAGCGUUAGCUUGUCGCUCGAAAGAUAGGGUUAUCCAGCCCAAGCUUGUUUCGCGUUUUUGAUACUCAUUUUCAUCUAAUUUCUAGUACUCAUAUAUAUAAGUAACGACUUGUAUUAUUGUGGGAUAUUUAUACAACAUUUUGAAAGCUUUAGAUCUUAAUUGAGAGUAUUGAGAUCUUGUUAUAAAAUUAAUUACUAUUAAUUAUAGUGAAUUUCUCUUCCUCUGCUUAUGAUUUUCCCCAUCUUAGAUUUUCAUAUAAAUCUUGGUGUUCUUAUUUUGUUUUUAUUUAUUUCAUUAUUGUCAUUCUCUUGUGAUCAAUUCAUAACAAGUAGUAUCAGAUCAAAGUUGAUUAUUCCGCACGACAACGAUGAAAUACGAUAUUUCGUUAUUGGAUUGAAACACGAGAUUUACUUUAUGACAAGUGAAUAUGCAAACAGUUUUUGGGCAGAUGGAUUUGGAGUAAGUCUGACUUGGCUUUGAUAAGAUGCCUUCAACCUGAACGGGGAUGAAAAGCAACGUAGGGAUCAAAAAGUCCAAUCUCAAAUUUUAUGUUAUGGUUAAAGUUGGAGCAACUUGACAUAACAAAGAGCUUGACCAGGAAUUUACACUUGAAACAACGUUUGUAUUCUCACCUAAUAUCUAAAGAUACACCAUUGGAUGAUCACUUAACUAUAUUCAAAGAAAUCGUGACCGAUUUGGAGACAUUGGAGGUUAAGUAUGAUGAGGAAGACUUGGCAUUGAGGUUGUUGUGUUUAUUGUCGACGUCAUAAAUGACUUUUAGAGAUACUAUUCUCUAUAUUCAAGAUACUUUCAUUGUGGAUGAGGUCUAUGAUACUUUACUGCCUAAGAAAAAAAUAAGGCAUUUGGCAAAUGGAUCUUGGAAUCAGGCUGAAGGCCUGGUUAUUCGUGGGAGAAAUCAAGAUACAAAUCUUAGUAGGAAUAUGAUGGAUGAAUCGAAAUCUAGACAAGCAAAGAAACUAUGUCAUUACUGUAAGAAGAAAUAACGUAUUAGAACCGAUUGCUAUGCUUUGAAAAAUAGGUACAAUGCUACUGGAGUUAUUGAUAAAGGAAAACAACCUGAAAACAUAACGGAGGCUGAUGUUGUGAAAGAUUGGUAAAGUGAAUGAGAGUUUCUUGUAAUUUUUGACAUGGGUUCCAAACCUUGUGAGGGAUAGGUUUUUUACUCGACAUGUACUUUUUAUAUAUGUUUUGGAACUCCAUGUAUUGAAAUUUGAUUCAAGGUGAAGAUUUGUUAUAGUUUGACCCAAAUUCUAGUGGGUAUUGAAGUUUUAGUUGAAAUGGUCUUGCAAAGAUCAAAAUUAUGGAUUGAGAAGAAAAGUCGUCAUUUUAACUAGCAUGUCGCUAGCUACCCGCUCGUAUGACGCUUACAUAUUUUCUCCCAAUAUUUGUGCACCUAACGCUUAAGAGGUAAGCUGUGAUUCACUGCGCUAGCCUGUUGCUCGAGCGACAAGGUUAUCUGAUCUAGCUCAUUUCGUAUUUCGACGUGUUUUCUGGACUCCUAUUCAUCUACAGCUUGAUUUCUCGGGCUUAUAUAUAUAAGUCAGUACUUGUAAUGUUGUGGGACAUUUAUACAACAUCUUGAUUGAUAGUAUUGGGAUCUUGUUGUAAAUAUAAUUACUAUUAAUUAUAAUAAAUAGAUAUGCCUGUUGUUUUUUCAUCUUGGAUUUCCACAUAAAUAUUGGUGCUCUUAUUUUAUUCUUGUUUAUUUCAUUAUUUUUAUUAUCUUGUGAUCAAUU
rnacentral:lncRNA from 1 species